AAAAUUUUAGUUUAAAUUUAAAACUUUUUUUUUACAAAAAAAAAAUAAUUUUAUAUUAGUUAAAUUUUA
rnacentral:tRNA from 1 species